GACGAACGCUGGCGGCGUGCCUAAUACAUGCAAGUCGAACGGUUUAGUUCCAAGAGGCUUGCCUUUUGGAACUAGACAGUGGCGGACGGGUGAGUAACACGUAGGCAACCUACCUGUCAAACCGGGAUAACCUCGGGAAACCGAAGCUAAACCCGGAUAAGCUCCUUUUUCGCAUGAAGGGGGAGUGAACAGGUGCGACCUGAUGACAGAUGGGCCUGCGGCGCAUUAGCUAGUAGGUAGGGUAACGGCCUACCUAGGCGAUGAUGCGUAGCCGACCUGAGAGGGCGUACGGCCACACUGGGACUGAGAUACGGCCCAGACUCCUACGGGAGGCAGCAGUAGGGAAUCUUCGGCAAUGGGAGAAAGCCUGACCGAGCAACGCCGCGUGAGUGAGGAAGGCCUUCGGGUUGUAAAACUCUGUUGUUUGGGAAGAAGGGAAAGGGUAGGACCCUUUGGUGACGGUACCAAACGAGAAAGCCCCGGCUAACUACGUG
rnacentral:rRNA from 1 species